AUGCCGCCGCGCCCUCCUCCUUCCAGAGCACGGACCUUUGGCGGCAUAAACCGCCGUCGCCGUCGCACGCGCCGCCGGCCGCGCCGCGAGCCCGAUUUCCCCACGCCCCGCGGCAUGGCGCGCAACAAGGAAGGGCUGGUUCUGCUGCUGGAUGUCGGCCCGUCGAUGCACCGGGCGCUGCCGGAGGUUGAGAACGUCUGCACGACCCUCGUGCGCAAGAAGCUGGUUUUUCAUAGGAGCGACGAGGUUGGCGUUGUCCUGUUUGGAACUAAAGAAACACACAAUGACCUCGCGAGGGAACUUGGGGGCUAUAAGCAUGUGCUGGUUAAGCAUGAUAUUAAAGUUGUUGACGAAGAAACAAAAGAUGCUCUUGAAAAUCUUCCUAGGGGAACUGCCCCUGGUGACUUUCUGGAUGCUAUUGUUGUUGGUUUGGAUAUGCUGAUAAAGAGAUUCGGAGAUACCAAAGCAAAACAACGUCUGUGUCUAAUCACCGACGCACAACAUCUGCUAAGGGAUCCACCCCAAGGGACAAAAGAAGACCAGGUGGACACUAUUGCAGACCAGAUGAAAAAACAUGAUAUUAAGAUGGAUUGCAUUGUUUUCAGGGAAUCUGGAGUUCAACACAAUUCUGUAAUGGAUGAAAAUGACCGGUUAUUAUAUCACUUCAGAGAUAGGUCGGUGGCAAAGGUAGUCCAGGUUGACACCCCGACAGCACUCUUAGGUGCUCUCAAGACAAGAAAUGUACUCCCAGUUACUAUCUUCAGGGGAGACCUGGAAGUGAGCUCCACUUUUAAAAUCAAGGUGUGGGCGUAUAAGAAAACAUCUGAGGAAAAAUUCCCCACUUUGAAGAAGUAUUCUGAUAAGGCUCCUCCAAGUGAUCAGUUUGCCUCGCAUGAAGUCAAAGUGGAUUAUGAGUACAAAAGCAUUCUAGAACCAGACACAGUUAUUCCACCAGAUCAAAGAAUCAAGGGCUAUCUUUACGGUCCUCAAGUUGUUCCUAUAUCAUCUGCUGAAUGGGAGGCUGUGAAGUUCAAGCCAGAGAAAGGUGUGAAGCUUCUAGGUUUUGCAGAUAGAUCCAGCAUACCACGGUCCUAUUUUAUGAAAGAUGUGAACUCCUUUGUACCUGAACCGGGAAACACAAAAGCAAUGGUUGCAGUCUCUGCCUUAGCUAGAGCAAUGCAAGAAAUGAACAAGGUUGCAAUUCUGCGAUGUGUGUGGAGGCAAAAUCAAGCGAAUGUUGCUUUUGGUGUAUUGACACCAAACAUCUCAUCAGUGAACAAUGUGCCAGAUUCCUUUUACUUCAAUAUACUGCCUUUUGCUGAGGACAUCAGAGACUUUCCAUUUCGCUCCUUCAGCAGCCUGCCACCAUCAUCACAGCCUACUGAAGAACAGCAGGAAGCGGCAGAUAAUCUAGUGAAGAUGUUAGAUCUUGCACCACCUGGAAGGGAAGAGAUCCUCAGGCCUGAUUUCACACCAAACCCUAUGUUGGAGAGGUUCUACAGCUACCUUGAUCUGAAGUCAAAGCAGCCAGAUGCAAAUCCACCACCGCUCGAUAGCUGUCUAAGGAGGAUAACCGAGCCAGAUCCUGACGUCAUUAAUUAUCGAGUACCGUUAAUCCAAAAUUUAGGCAAAUCUUUUGAGCUGAAGGAGAACCCCAAGAGAAAGAAAGCCCGGACACAGGAGAGAUUAGCUUAUACUGACCCAGAUGAUCAAGCUAAAAGUUCAGAAAAUAAUGCAGAGAAGGCUACGGCGGCAGAUGGUCAAGCUAAAAAGCCAGAAGAUCCUUAUGCAGAGAAGGCUAGGGCGAUAGAGGUUAUGUUUCCUUCAACAGAGAAGGUUGGGAAGAUUGGAGAUGUAAAUCCUGUUAAAGAUUUUGAAGCCAUGCUGGCAGAGAGAUCUAGCUCAAUAUGGGUUCAGAAGGCAAUUGAAGAGAUGAAGAAGUACACGACCAAUUUGGUAGAGAAUUCUCUUCAAGGAGAUUAUUACGAAAAGGCACUCAAGUGUUUUGUUGCUCUGCGGAAGGCCUGUAUAAUCGAACAGGAGCCGGAGGAAUAUAACCAAUUUGUGACGAAGCUUUAUGAGAGACUGAAGAAGGUGGAUGAUGUGGUGAAGUUCUUUCAGCUUCUUUCAUCCAAGAAUGUUUUGCUUAUAUGCAAAGAAGAAGCGCCUGACAGCGAUGUGACUGAAGAGAUGGCGAGGAGCUUCUUCUUGAAAACCGAAAUAUCCUCUGAGUAG
rnacentral:rRNA from 1 species